AUUACCCUUCAUGCUCCACAGAGUAUUCUCAUAUAGCUUGUUUACCAGUUCAUUGGAACACCGGAAAGAACCGGUUUGCUCGUCAGCGCCAGCUUUGAGGGCGUCCGCAGUGAGGUACUUCUCCAUGCGCUGGAGGACAAAGGGGUUUAUGUAUCGUCCGGUUCCGCCUGCUCGUCCAAUCAUCCGGGCAUCAGCGGUACUUUAAAGGGAAUCGGCGUGAAAAAAGAACUUCUCGAUUCGACGAUCCGGUUCAGUCUGGGUGAUCUGAAUACCGAGGAAGAAGUAGACUAUGCGAUCGGCGUUCUGGGAGAGCUGCUUCCGGUACUUCGCCGUUACCAGAUGAAAUAAAAUGGCUGUUUAAAGAAUGGCUGUUCAGUUUUUUUGCGGGAAAGCAGAAGAAUGACAGCCUGCUGUAGAAAGGAAAUUCCAUGUUUCAUACAUUUUUGAUUAAAUAUGCGGAGAUUGGCCUGAAAGGUAAAAACCGCUAUGUAUUCGAGGACGCGCUGGUGUCCCACAUCCAUCACUCGUUAAAACGUCUUGAUGGAAAAUUUACCGUAACCAAGGAGGCAGGGCGUAUCUAUGCGACCGCAGCGGAAGAAUUUGAUUACGAUGAGGUCAUCGACGCACUGAAAAAGGUAUUCGGUAUUGCGGCGAUCUGUCCGAUGGUCCAGUUAGAGGACAACGGUUACGACGAUCUGAAAGCGAAGAUUGUUGAGUAUGUGGAUAAAGCAUAUCCGGAUAAACACUUUACGUUCAAGGUAAACACCCGCCGUGCAAACAAACAGUAUCCGCAUACCUCCGAGGAAGUCAACCGCGAUCUCGGUGAGGUCAUCCUGGACGCAUUCCCGGAGACGAAGGUAGACGUACACAAUCCGGAUGUCCUUUUAAAUGUGGAACUGCGUGCAAAACGUAUCAACGUAUACUCUCUGGUGAUUCCGGGACCGGGCGGUAUGCCGGUCGGAACCAAUGGACGCGCGAUGCUGCUUUUAUCCGGCGGUAUCGACAGCCCGGUGGCAGGAUACAUGAUCGCAAAACGCGGCGUUACCAUCGAGGCAACCUAUUUCCAUGCGCCGCCAUACACCAGCGACCGUGCAAAACAGAAAGUAGUCGAUCUGGCAAAGCAGGUAGCAAAAUACGCAGGUCCGAUCAAAUUAAACGUAGUCAAUUUCACAGAUAUCCAGCUCUACAUCUACGAGCAGUGCCCGCAUGAGGAGCUGACGAUUAUCAUGCGCCGCUACAUGAUGAAGAUCGCGGAAGAGCUGGCGAAGAAAGACGACUGUCUCGGACUCAUCACCGGCGAGAGCAUCGGUCAGGUAGCAUCCCAGACGGUUCAUUCCCUGGCGGUUACCAAUGCAGUCUGCACACUUCCGGUCUUCCGCCCGCUGAUCGGUUUCGACAAACAGGAUAUCGUCGAUAUUUCUCUGAAAAUCGGUACCUACGAGACAUCGAUCGAGCCGUAUGAAGAUUGCUGCACCAUCUUCGUAGCCAAACACCCGGUUACCAAGCCGGUCCUGCACCACCCUUGCGGUAUUGGGUUUCUAACCUGCGGCCAUGACCUGGCCGGGGGACAAUGUCAGGUGGGGAGUUUGACUGGGGCGGUCGCCUCCGAAAGGGUAUCGGAGGCGCUCAAAGGUUCCCUCAGAAUGGUUGGAAACCAUUCGAAGAGUGCAAAGGCAGAAGGGAGCUUGACUGCGACACCGACGGGUGGAGCAGGUACGAAAGUAGGACUUAGUGAUCCGGUGGUAUAAAGUGGGAUUGCCAUCGCUCAACGGAUAAAAGCUACCCUGGGGAUAACAGGCUUAUCACUCCCAAGAGUUCACAUCGACGGAGUGGUUUGGCACCUCGAUGUCGGCUCAUCGCAUCCUGGGGCUGUAGUAGGUCCCAAGGGUUGGGCUGUUCGCCCAUUAAAGCGGUACGCGAGCUGGGUUCAGAACGUCGUGAGACAGUUCGGUCCCUAUCCGGCGUGGGCGUAGGAUAUUUGAGAGGAGCUGCCCUUAGUACGAGAGGACCGGGGUGGACUGGCCGCUGGUGUAUCUGUUGUAUUACCAAGUGCAUAGCAGAGUAGCCAAGCCGGGAAGGGAUAAACGCUGAAGGCAUCUAAGCGUGAAGCCCCCCUCAAGAUGAGAUAUCUCAUAACGUCAAGUUAGUAAGACCCCUUGAAGACGACGAGGUAGAUAGGGCAGAGGUGGAAGUGUGGUAACACAUGGAGCUGACUGUUACUAAUAGGUCGAGGGCAUAACCA
rnacentral:rRNA from 1 species